CCUACGGGAGGCAGCAGUAAGGAAUAUUGGUCAAUGGAGGCAACUCUGAACCAGCCAUGCCGCGUGCAGGAAGACUGCCCUAUGGGUUGUAAACUGCUUUUAUACGGGAAUAAACCUUGAUUCGUGAAUCGAGCUGAAUGUACCGUAAGAAUAAGGAUCGGCUAACUCCGUGCCAGCAGCCGCGGUAAUACGGAGGAUCUAAGCGUUAUCCGGAUUUAUUGGGUUUAAAGGGAGCGUAGGCGGCCUAUUAAGUCAGGGGUGAAAGACGGUGGCUCAACCAUCGCAGUGCCUUUGAUACUGGUAGGCUUGAAUGUAGUUGAGGUAGGCGGAAUGUGACAAGUAGCGGUGAAAUGCAUAGAUAUGUCACAGAACACCGAUUGCGAAGGCAGCUUACUAAGCUAUGAUUGACGCUGAGGCUCGAAAGCGUGGGGAUCAAACAGGAUUAGAUACCCUGGUAGUCCACGCCCUAAACGAUGAUAACUCGAUGUUGGCGAUAUACAGUCAGCGUCCAAGCGAAAGCGUUAAGUUAUCCUCGUGGUAGUUACGCCGCGAGGUUAGAACGACGAGAGUAGAGGNGNGAGAGNGCGACGGACGACGACGAGGAGGAGG
rnacentral:rRNA from 1 species